GAUUACUCCUACGGGAGGCAGCAGUGGGGAAUAUUGCACAAUGGGCGCAAGCCUGAUGCAGCCAUGCCGCGUGUAUGAAGAAGGCCUUCGGGUUGUAAAGUACUUUCAGCGGGGAGGAAGGUGUUGAGGUUAAUAACCUCAGCAAUUGACGUUACCCGCAGAAGAAGCACCGGCUAACUCCGUGCCAGCAGCCGCGGUAAUAAU
rnacentral:rRNA from 1 species